GUUGUUAUCGUAAUUCAAUGAUUAUUUUAGACUAUCUAUUCAUGUUUAUGGUGUAUUGGUUAUGGUAGUAGUAAUAAGGAUUUUUUUUAUAACAUUAAUAGAAUUGGAAUAGAGUUAGAAUUUAGUUUUUUGUUUUUUAUUUUUGCUUUUUUUAAUAAUAAUGCUAGAAAUUGGGGGUGGAAUUUUAUAUUUUUUAAAUAUUCAUAAUUCACGAAGGUUUCAAACCACCACAAUUCACCUUCAAAACAAAAUAGUUUACACGUUAAGAACUGUCGUAAUGAUAAUUUGGC
rnacentral:lncRNA from 1 species